UACGUAGGGCGCAAGCGUUGUCCGGAAUUAUUGGGCGUAAAGAGCUCGUAGGCGGUUUGUCGCGUCGGCUGUGAAAACCUGGGGCUCAACCCCGGGCCUGCAGCCGAUACGGGCAAACUAGAAUUCGGUAGGGGAGACUGGAAUUCCUGGUGUAGCGGUGAAAUGCGCAGAUAUCAGGAGGAACACCGAUGGCGAAGGCAGGUCUCUGGGCAUUAACUGACGCUGAGGAGCGAAAGCAUGGGGAGCGAACAGG
rnacentral:rRNA from 1 species